rnacentral:lncRNA from 1 species
CAGGUGUUUGGAAUAAUAGAAUAAUAUGAGUGGAAAAAUCAUAUUCAUGUUAGUGAGUCCAAAUUGAGGUCUUACCCAGAAAAUGAAAAGAAAUUUCAAACAUUUUGUUAAGGAAACACGACUACGAAUGUGUGGCCAAAUGAUUGUUUAAUUCUCAAAAAUACAAACGAAGUUUGAAAAUCACGAGAUUUUGAAAGAUGCUAUGAUUUCAUAUGCAGAGGCUGUGGUAAAAAAUUAACAAGGUUUCGCACAAGUUUUGACAUAUGAUGCUUAGAAUUCGAAGCAUCUCCGGAGAGGAUUCGUAGAAGUUGGAAGGAUCCGGUAAGAUUUUGAGUCGAAUCGAUACUUAAAUUUGUGAUUGAGUUCAAAUUUAUUUUUAUAGACCAUAGAGAAUAUAGAUUGGUUCAUGUCAAUUUUUGGGAAUUUUUCGGAUCUAUUUGGUAAUUUUUAUUCAUUAAUUGCACGUAUAUGAAUUUAAUAGAUAUAAAUUUAAUAUAAGCUAUAAAUCCAUGAAAUAAUGGAAUAAUAUUACUUAAAAAAUAAAAUACGCAAUGUUUAGUGAAUUUGACUAGGUUUUUGCAAACUUUACAUAGUUUUAAUUAAUAAAACCAGUUUGGACAUGAAAUAAUAGUACCUAUUUGCCGAGUGUCACG